rnacentral:lncRNA from 1 species
UGGAAAUCAUCCACAUGCCAAGCACCGCAGAGGCAAGGGGAGUCUGCCAUUGGACUGCGUUCAACACGGCUGCAGGGAUACAGACAAGCACAUUCCCUGGCAGAGGCACGGGCCCGGCUGGCUGGAGCUGCAGCAGCUGUGUGUGGUCACAGAGCUUCCAAAUGAGGGAGAUGGAUGGCCUCGCUUCACAGUGUGCCCAGAGCAUGUCCACGGUGCCUGGGAAGACCAGGGACUCACCAUGCCCGGCUCUGGUUUCCCUCACAGUGAAGCCUCCUUGCUGAAGAUGGAACCCAGCACAUCUCGAGAGCCCACUGCACAGGUCAGGUGCAUUUAUGUUUACUGUUUCUAUCAGCAAAAGAGCAAAACCAAAAUCAAACAAACGAAGACUCUGGCAAGAUUGCUUGAUCCUGCCUUGAGGGGCAAUAUGUAUACAGCAAAAAGUAUACUUUGCAAAUUCUCUUGCAGGAAGGAAUGGCAAACAACAUAAUUCUAUCUAAUGAGAUGUUCAAAGACAUCUUCUGGUGCUUCUUGAAAGACUUGAUUUCUUCACAUAGAUGCAAUGUCUUCCCUGUGGUUUCUUCUUCUAUCUGCUGGGGACAUGGGUGUGAUCCCUGGAGCUGCAGCAGCCAUUUGUUAACCCUGAGGAAAAGACUCAGAAAAAUCCAAGACCUUGGCUCUACUAUCUUUGGGCCAUUGAACCAGAGGUAGCAAGUCGCAUUUCUCCUUAAAUGAUAAUAAAACCCCCCCUUGAUUUAAGC